GACUAAAUGUGGUCCCUGCUGGGAGGUGCUGUUGCAAAGGGUAAACAGGGCCCCAUGGAAGUGUGGCUGAGGGGCUUGGGUUUAAGAUGAGAACAGAGGCCGUGACACAUAAUUCUGACCAGGAGCAAGGAGCAAGGAGCAGGGACCGAGGAGAAGGCUGUCUGAAGGAGGCGCCUUUUAGACACUCCUCCACCCUGGAAGGGACGCCGGCAGGCCCAGGAACGGGAGGUCUCCCUGAGUCCUGACCCCACGCAAGACAGCUCCUCUUCGGACUUCUCCAGCAGAUGGACCAGGUGCCUAGAUCAGCCCAUGAGGGGCCCUUGGUUUCCUUAGGUUCUGAUGCUAUUUUCAGGAAUCAAACACUGAAAAUUCAGGCCAGGGCACGAGUGGCCUGCAGGUGGCUUUAGAAGCUCAUGUUCUAGUGGAAAGAUCUACAGAUCUGAUGGAAGAGAUGGUUUGGAUGUUGAAGGUAUAGCUCAGUGGUUAAACUUGUGCGAAUUAAAACACACCAGGCCCCAGUAUGGGGGGAGGGGUACAGGGAACAAGAGAGAUUGAAGAAGAACGAAGGCGAGGAAGGAGGAAGGAAGGAAGCAGAAAAAGUAAGAACAAGAGCUUGCAUUUCCUAGCACUUCCAAUUUAUAAAAGAAACCCAGCCUGAUAACGACGCGUGCAGAGUGUCAGCUAUUAGAGCUCAAUGCCGCCUUCAGCUCGGCUCCCUCAGAGCGCCUUUGUGAAAACCAUACUCGGGAAAGCAGGGGAAGCUGUCUGACUUCUCUCAGGAGCCUGGGUUAAAGUUGCAAUCUCAUUUUGCCCGAGAUAACCAGAAAUACUCUAAGUUGUCUAAGUGCGCAGAAACGGAUUUGAUCUCCCCUUCUGAUUGCUUAGCAGAAGUCAAGCAGCCAAUUUUUCAACAACGUCUCCGUAUCAUGAAACUUCCUAAAAGUCUUCAAGG
rnacentral:lncRNA from 1 species